rnacentral:rRNA from 1 species
AUGAUCACCACGGCUGCGCCAGAGGGCGUCGCGCAGCCACCUGCCGCGGCCAAGGGGCCCAAAGGAGAGGCGGAGAGGAAACAGAGCGACGCACAGGGAAGAGGAGGAAACAGCGGUGGUGGCGGCGGCGGCGGCGGCGGUGCAGAUGGCGGGGGUGGAGGUAGAGGGAAGAAGCGGAAGAACAAGGGAGGUGCCUUCAUCUACGGAAACUACAGGAACUACUACGGCUACCGAAUUGAUCGUAACGGCGGUGAAGAUCCCCGCCUUGAGAUAUUCAAGAAGGAGUGGUUUGCAGGCAAGGAUUGUCUCGAUAUUGGAUGCAACCAAGGUUUGGUCACAAUCGGUAUAGCGAUGAAGUUUGAAUGUCAAAGCAUCCUUGGAGUUGACAUUGAUAAAGGUUUGAUUGACCUUGCUAACUGGAAUUUAAGAAGGAUAUCUCGAACAGGCAACAUGGCUCCAGAAAGUGCCAAGGUUCAUAACUCGUCAGACUCCACAACUAAGAGCUGUCCUGAAGAAGUGGUAUCUGAAAUGCCAAAUGGAAAUAUUUCUAAGUACGAACAACCUGAUCUUUUUGAAAUCGUCUCUUUUCGGUCUGAAAAUUUUGUACAGAGCAAACACAAAUAUGCAGAACAGUAUGACACCAUCAUGUGUUUGAGCGUGACAAAAUGGAUCCACCUGAACUGGGGUGAUGAUGGCAUAAUCACUUUGUUUGUGAAGAUAUGGAGUCUUCUAAGACCGGGAGGGAUUUUUAUCAUGGAGCCUCAACCUUGGACCUCGUAUAGGAAAAACAGAUUAGUGUCAGAGUUUGCCAAAGAAAACUUCAAAUAUAUCUGUAUAUACCCUGAGAAAUUCCGGGAGGUACUUCUGGACAAGGUAGGAUUUAGGUCAGCAGAGGUGAUUGGCAACAGAUUGGUCGGAUCUGUCGCUGGUUUUGACCGCCCAAUUGAAGUUUACUACAAAUGA